CAAUGUCUAUUAAGAAAAGAAUCAAAAAAAUAUGUUAAGCGUCUUCAGCUUAUUACCUUUGCAAUUCCAGAAGCAGCUACAGAACCUGAAAACAAUAGUAAAAAAAUCCAAGAGCAUAUCUACAUCCAACGAACAGAACUCAGGAGUCAUGCUCGGUACUAUGGUUAAUAAAUGAAUGUCCAAAAAGGAUUCAGAAUGGGAUGCCAAGAAUAAAAGGAAGCCUCCAUCAUUCACAUAUAGCAGGAUGCUGAGUUCAAAAAAGGAUAAGGUGAGGAUCCUAAUAUUACCUUUAUAUGACCAAACUUGAUUUCUUUGCCUACCAGUCAUUCGUAUUAAGGUGGUUACAUUUGCGUGCAUAGCGCAUGCAUACGAGCAUGCGAAAGCACAUAACUAGGUUAUUAUAUAUUCCAAGUCCCAAAAACCACAAAACCUUAUACCCAAAAGUUGAGCACAACUAAAGAAAUCAAAAUAGAG
rnacentral:misc_RNA from 1 species